rnacentral:rRNA from 1 species
UCCACGCCCUAAACGAUGAACACUAGUCGUCGGAAAGCUUGUCUUUUCGGUGAUGCACUUAACAGAUUAAGUGUUCCGCCUGGGGAGUACGGUCGCAAGAUUAAAACUCAAAGGAAUAGACGGGGACCCGCACAAGUGGUGGAGCAUGUGGUUUAAUUCGAAGAUACGCGAAAAACCUUACCUGGCCUUGACAUUGAUAGAAUCCAGCAGAGAUGCAGGAGUGCCCUUCGGGGAGCUUGAAAACAGGUGCUGCACGGCUGUCGUCAGCUCGUGUCGUGAGAUGUUGGGUUAAGUCCCGCAACGAGCGCAACCCUCGUCCUUAGUUGCCAGCAGGUUAAGCUGGGCACUCUAGGGAGACUGCCUUCGUAAGGAGGAGGAAGGUGAGGACGACGUCAAGUCAUCAUGGCCCUUACGGCCAGGGC